CUUUAAAAGUGAAAGUAAACUGCUUUCUUAAGCCAUUACAAAAGAGGGAGAGAAGUGUGACAGAGAGAAAAUGGCCUCCAGAUUGUCUCUCCCAGAAGAGGAUCUUUCCUGUCCUGUAUGCUUAAACACCUUCAGUGAUCCUGUCAUCUUAUUAUGUAGCCACAGCUUCUGUAAAGCCUGUCUGCAGGAGUGCUGUAGACAGAGAGGAUUUCGGGAAUGUCCAGUUUGUAGGGAAGUAUUUUCAAUGGGUAAUCCUUCCUGUAACCGGGCUCUAAAGAACCUGUGUGAGGCUGUCUUAAAGGAAAGAUGUCAGAGGGCUUCAGGAGGGUCUGAGGUUCUCUGCAGUCUGCAUAGUGAGAAAUUCAAGCUCUUCUGUUUGGAGGAUAAAGAGCUCAUCUGUUUGGAGGAUAAAGAGCUCAUCUGUUUGGAGGAUAAAGAGCUCAUCUGUUUGGAGGAUAAAGAGCUCAUCUGUUUGGAGGAUAAAGAGCUCAUCUGUUUGGAGGAUAAAGAGCUCAUCUGUUUGGAGGAUAAAGAGCUCAUCUGUUUGGUGUGUCGUGAUUCAAGGAAGCAUAAAAAGCAUGACUGCAUCCUCAUACAGGAAGCUGUACAGGAACAUAAGGUUAAACUCAAGACUGCAUUAAGGAUAAACUGAGGCUCUUUAAGGGAGUCAAACUCACCUGUGAUAAUACAGGAACACAUAUUGAGGUAUGACAUUUAAGUAUUGAUGCAACAACAAUGUAUGCAUUUUGGCUAGUUUGUGUUCUUUAUUGUCUACUCUGUUCUAAUCUAAGGGAAGAUCAUGCCCUACAGGAAGACUGAGGUGAAGCAAUUUUGAUUGGAUGCCAUGAGGGAGGAAAUAGUAUGAAUAAUGACAGAAAGAACCAGGAGGUUAAAUUGGUGACAGAAAAUUAUAACAGGAGAGAUACAGUAUGUCUGAGAUAUUCCUUGCACUCUCUCCAGAUCCAAGCCCAGGAUACAGAGAGGCAGAUUAAGGGGCAGUUUAAAAAAUUGUACCUGUUUUUGCAAAAGGAAGAUAGAUGGAUAGAUGCAGUGAGAAUGGAAGAGGUGCGGAAGAGUCAGGUGAUGAAACACAAGAUAACAGAGAUGAGCAGAGAGAUAUCAUCACUUUCAUACACAAUCAAAGCCACCUAACAAAAGCUGAGCAUUGAAGACAUCUCAUUCUUGCAGAACUACUAGGCCACAGAGACAAGAGCCAAGCAAACACUGCCAGAUCCAAAGAGGGCUUCAGGAGCGCUGAUAGACGUGGCCAAACACCUGGUGUAGAGGACUGCUAAUUCUUAUAUAGGUGACAUUACUGCUAUUGCAUUGUUAUAACUGAGACAACACAUAACAACGUAUUUUCAUAGUAAAACAGGUUGGGCCCCAUACAGGAUACUCCUAGCCACAGGUGCUGGCCGGGAGUUCGGCCAUAACUCCUCUGAAGAUAGGGACGCACACACAUUACACACUGACUCCUCUGAAGACAGGGACGACGCACAUACAAUACACACUAACUGCCGAGGACACACAGAUAAGACAUACACCCACACAGAGGGAAGAAGAGACACAGCCUUGACUUGCAGACAAACUAGCACACACACAUAAUCUCCCUCCCAGCCGAACAUUGUGUGACUGAAGAUAGCGCACACACCAGAUCCCCUUUUCAGCUGAACAUGGUGUGACGACCAAGAACAGGCAUGGCAGGAUUCUACGAUGAAGGACAGACAACAGAGCCAAUGCCGGACGACUACACCCCAGCCUGAUCCAAUCCGAAGAUCAGAUCUCCUAGAAAUCAACCUACUUUCUGUUGUGUAUAUGAAGCUUGUACUCACUGUUAGCAAGUGCCUUUUUCUGCUAGUCUGUGAUGAGCUAACAGUGGGGCCCGUAUAUACGUGUACCAGAUAUUCUCACUCUGAAUAAACCUGUCGCUUGUCGUACAAUCUA